rnacentral:rRNA from 1 species
CCUACGGGUGGCUGCAGUGAGGAAUAUUGGUCAAUGGACGCGAGCCUGAACCAGCCAAGUAGCGUGCAGGAUGACUGCCCUACGGGUUGUAAACUUCUUUUAUACAGGAAUAAAGUGCGGCACGUGUGCCUUUUUGUAUGUACUUUAUGAAUAAGGAUCGGCUAACUCCGUGCCAGCAGCCGCGGUAAUACGGAGGAUCCGAGCGUUAUCCGGAUUUAUUGGGUUUAAAGGGAGCGUAGAUGGGUUGUUAAGUCAGUUGUGAAAGGUUGCGGCUCAACCGUAAAAUUGCAAUUGAUACUGUCAGUCUUGAGUACAGUUGAGGUAGGCGGAAUGCGUGGUGUAGCGGUGAAAUGCUUAGAUAUCACGAAGAACUCCGAUUGCGAAGGCAGCUUACUAAACUGCCACUGACAUUGAUGCUCGAAAGUGUGGGUAGCAAACAGGAUUAGAUACCCCGGUAGUC